rnacentral:rRNA from 1 species
AGGGCAUACGGCGGAUGCCUAGGCGCCAUCAGCCGAUGAAGGACGCGGUAAGCUGCGAAAAGCUACGGGGAACUGCAAGCAAGUAUUGAUCCGUAGAUGUCCGAAUGGGGAAACCCACCUGCCGUCAUGGGCAGGUAUCCGAAAGGAAGGGAACCCGGGGAACUGAAACAUCUAAGUACCCGGAGGAAGAGAAAUCAAACGAGAUGCCCACAGUAGCGGCGAGCGAAGAGGGCAGAGGGCAAACCGGUGAGCUACGGCUCGCCGGGGUUGAGGACUGCAUUUAGUCUCAAUGGUCUAUCCGAACUACCUGGAAAGGUAGGCAAUACAGUGUAAAAGCCACGUAGGUUAAAGACCGGAGAGAUGAGCAGUAUCCAGAGUACCACGAGGCACGAGGAAUCUUGUGGGAAGCCGGGGGGACCACCCUCCAACCCUAAACACUGAAUGGCGACCGAUAGCGCAUAGUACCGUGAGGGAAAGGUGAAAAGAACCCCGGGAGGGGAGUGAAAGAGAACCUGAAACCGUAUGUCUACAAGCAGUCGGAGCGAAAGCGACGGCGUGCCUAUUGAAGAAUGAACCAACGAGUUACGUGCACUAGCGAGGUUAAGUGGAAGACACGGAGCCGAAGCGAAAGCGAGUCUUAAGAGGGCGGAUAGUUAGUGUACGUAGACCCGAAACCGCAGUGAUCUACCCAUGUCCAGGUUGAAGCGCAGGUAAAAUUGCGUGGAGGACCGAACCUGUGAGCGUUGAAAAGCUUUAGGAUGAGAUGUGGGUAGAGGUGAAAUUCCAAUCGAACGCGGAGAUAGCUGGUUCUCCCCGAAAUAGCUUUAGGGCUAGCCUCAAGUAGUAAGUAUAGGCGGUAGAGCACUGAUCGGGCUAGGGGCCAUAAAGGUUACCGAACCCUGUCAAACUCCGAAUGGUUAUACUGUAGAGCUUGGGAGUCAGACUACGAGUGAUAAGAUCCGUGGUCAAAAGGGAAACAGCCCAGACCACCAGCUAAGGUCCCCAAUGUCGUACUAAGUGGAAAAGGAUGUGGGGUCUCUAAAACAACCAGGAUGUUGGCUUAGAAGCAGCCACCAUUUAAAGAGUGCGUAAUAGCUCACUGGUCGAGAGACCCUGCGCCGAAGAUUACCGGGGCUAAAGUACGAAACCGAAGCUGUGGCUACGACAUAUGUCGUGGGGUAGGGGAGCGUUCUGUGAGGGCUGAAGUCGUUCUGUAAGGAACGGUGGACUUCACAGAAGUGAGAAUGUUGGUAUGAGUAGCGAAAAGAAUGGUGAGAAUCCAUUCCACCGAAAGCAUAAGGAUUCCUGGGCAACGAUCGUCGUCCCAGGGUAAGUCGGGACCUAAUCCGAGGCAUGGAGCGUAGGAGAUGGACAACUGGCAGAUAUUCCAGUACCGGUAAUGAUUGUUUGAGCGAUGGAGUGACACAGGAGGGCAGGCAGGCAGGAGAUUGGUUGUUCCUGUACAAGCGUGUAGGAUGGGACGCAGGCAAAUCCGCGUCCUGUGAGUCUGAGGCGUGAUGUGGAGGUUCCGGAAACGGAACUGAAGCUGCUGACCCCACACUGUCGAGAAAAGCUUCUAGUUAGAGAAUUACCGCCCGUACCGUAAACCGACACAGGUAUGCGGGGAGAGAAUCCUAAGGUGCGCGGGAGAACCCUCGUUAAGGAACUCGGCAAAAUGUACCCGUAACUUCGGGAUAAGGGUAGCCGCUGUUGUGAAGUCUGAACAGACGGAGCAUGAGGCGGUCGCAGAGAAGAGGCCCAAGCGACUGUUUACCACAAACACAGGUGCCUGCUAAAGAGAAAUCUGACGUAUAGGUGCUGACACCUGCCCAGUGCCGGAAGGUUAAGGAAGGAUGUCCGGAGCAAUCCAAAGCAUUCGACCGAAGCCCCGGUGAACGGCGGCCGUAACUAUAACGGUCCUAAGGUAGCGAAAUUCCUUGUCGGGUAAGUUCCGACCCGCACGAAAGGUGUAACGAUUUGGGCACUGUCUCAACGAGGGACCCGGUGAAAUUGAAGUACCUGUGAAGAUGCAGGUUACCCGCGACUGGACAGAAAGACCCCAUGGAGCUUUACUGUAACCUGACAUUGGGUUCUGAUACAUCACGUACAGGAUAGGUGGGAGGCAUGGAAGCGAGGACGCUAGUCUUCGUGGAGCCGCCGUUGGGAUACCACCCUUGAUGUAUCGGAAUUCUAACCGUAGGAGUAACGAAACUCGGGA